rnacentral:misc_RNA from 1 species
CCCAGCUUCCAGGGGAGACAAUUUUUGUUCCAAGCGGAUGGUGGCACUGUGUCCUAAAUCUUGAAACAACUAUUGCUGUUACACAAAACUUUGCAAAUUCCAAAAACUUUGAAUAUGUAUGUCUGGAUAUGGCACCAGGUUAUCGUCAUAAAGGAAUUUGCCGUGCUGGAUUUUUGGCUGUUGAUGAAGACAUUUUACGAGACGUUGAAAAGAAUGCAGUGAAUCAUGAAGAUGAUCUAAGUUACCCAGACCUGACAAGGAAAGAAAAGAGGGUCAGAAUUCAAAAACUCAGAGAAGAUCC